UCAUCUCCUUUUUGUGAGAAACCCUAACUUCCUAAGCUCCAUCUCUAAAUAUACACACAUAUUAACAAACACAAAGACUUCAUCUUCUUCACAUGACAAACCCCACCCACAACACCACUCCCUUCCACCUCCGGUGAAACCGCCGGCCGGUGCCGGUAAACCGACAACCACACAUCUCACCUUCACCUCCUCCCUCUUCAUCUUUGAUCACCCGCAGCCCCCUGUUAAUCGGCCAACCACCACGAUCGUAUGGUGAUAGCGGGCUACAACAGCAACACCACCACCACAGGCGGCGGCGCUGUGGUGGGUGGUGCCGGUCGAGACGACUAGCGAGAAAGAGAGAGAGACGAAGAGAAAGUCGGAGGUGUCGGAGAUGGAGCCGCUCACAGCGGCGGUAGUACGACACCAGUGACGAUGGGGAUUUGCUUGAUUUCUGAUAAAAUUUAGUGAAGAUCGGUGGUCGACCGCGGCGGUAUAGCCGCUGGAGUUAACAGCAGCGGCGGUAGGAGACUCGUCUGAUGAGUUUCACGUUGAUUUCAAGUUUGGUUCGGGAUUUUUGUUCGGUUCGGUCAACAGGAGUCAGACCUGGUCAACUUCGGUCAACAGAAGUCAACGGUCCGGGUCAGCGGUCAGAAUUUUGGGUCUCGGCUCAGAUCGGGUUCGGUUCAAUCAGAUUGGUCUACUUCAGACAUGGUUUGGGUCAACUCGGUUAACCGAGUUAACUCGGUCAACUCAGUCAAUGCGAGUCAACCCGGUUGACUCAGUCAACUGGUCAACUCAGUCAACGAAGUCAGUCAGUCAACAGCAGUCAACACGCAAGACCCGGAAUGCUUUAGUUGCACGCUAGCGAGUUCACAUUCGUGGGAUGACACUACGGAAUCACAUUUAGCUAGCUAUGCACAGGAAUAUACAGGUUGCAUUUUCAAAACUAUAGAACGGUUGGAAUAGGAGA